rnacentral:rRNA from 1 species
GACGAACGCUGGCGGCGUGCUUAACACAUGCAAGUCGAGCGGUAGGGCCCUUUCGGGGGUACACGAGCGGCGAACGGGUGAGUAACACGUGGGUGACCUGCCCUUAGCUCUGGGAUAAGCCUGGGAAACUGGGUCUAAUACCGGAUAUGACUCCAUGACGCAUGUUGUGGGGUGGAAAGCCUUGUGCGGCUAGGGAUGGGCCCGCGGCCUAUCAGCUUGUUGGUGGGGUGAUGGCCACCAAGGCGACGACGGGUAGCCGGCCUGAGGGGGCGACCGGCCACACUGGGACUGAGACACGGCCCAGACUCCUACGGGAGGCAGCAGUGGGGAAUCUUGCGCAAUGGGCGAAAGCCUGACGCAGCGACGCCGCGUGAGGGAUGACGGCCUGG